rnacentral:snRNA from 1 species
GUGCUCACUUCAGCAGCACACAUACUAAAAUUGGAACGAUACAGAGAAGAUUAGCAUGGCCCCUGCACAAGGAUGACACGUAAAUUCGUGAAGUUGACCUAUUGGAG